UACGUAGGGUGCGAGCGUUGUCCGGAUUUAUUGGGCGUAAAGGCUCGUAGGCGGCGUGUCGCGUCGGGAGUGAAAGCCCGUUGCUUAACGGCGGGUUGGCUUUCGGUACGGGCAUGCUGGAGUGCGGCAGGGGAGACUGGAAUUCCUGGUGUAGCGGUGGAAUGCGCAGAUAUCAGGAGGAACACCGGUGGCGAAAGGCGGGUCUCUGGGCCGUUACUGACGCUGAGGAGCGAAAGCGUGGGGAGCGAACAGG
rnacentral:rRNA from 1 species